AGAGUUUGAUCCUGGCUCAGAUUGAACGCUGGCGGUAUGCUUAAGACAUGCAAGUCGUGCGGUAGAAGGCUUCGGCCUUUGAGAGCGGCGGACGGGUGAGUAACACGUGGGAAUCUGCCUAUUAGUGGGGGACAGCCCAGCGAAAGCUGGAUUAAUACCGCAUACGCCCUACGGGGGAAAGCAGCAAUGCGCUAAUAGAUGAGCCCGCGUAAGAUUAGCUAGUUGGUAAGGUAAAGGCUUACCAAGGCGACGAUCUUUAGCUGGUCUGAGAGGAUGGCCAGCCACAUCGGGACUGAGACACGGCCCGGACUCCUACGGGAGGCAGCAGUCGGGAAUAUUGGACAAUGGGCGCAAGCCUGAUCCAGCAAUACCGCGUGUGUGAAGAAGGCCUGCGGGUUGUAAAGCACUUUCAGUUGGGAAGAUAAUGACGUUACCAACAGAAGAAGCACCGGCUAACUCCGUGCCAGCAGCCGCGGUAAUA
rnacentral:rRNA from 1 species